CCCAAAAAAAACCCAGGAAGAGUAAUAGUAACCUGCACUAGAAUUCUGGGAAAUGCCAUAGGUCAAAGUUUUAGAACGUUGCUGUGCAUGUGAGCACCUACAGAAUCCACCUGUGGGAAUAGAACUACAACAACCUCCUCUUUCCACCCCCAUCCUCCCACACACACACUAAAACCAACACGGAUUGUUCUCUUGAGUUUGAAGUUUUUGUUCAUGCUUCUGCGUGCUACAGAUGUAUGGUAUUAGCUCUCUGCUGGUACAGCCAUCUGCAAGUUACUUACCCGAACAAUAACACGUGGUGAGAAGUCAAGCCCCAAGGAAUUGUUAAGAAGAAAUAUACCCAAAGGAUAACGUCUAUCAUGCUGCGGUUUGGCCAGCACCUCAUCAAGCCAUCUGUGGUCUUCCUGAAAACUGAGCUCUCUUAUGCUCUCGUGAACCGCAAGCCGGUGGUCCCAGGCCGUAUCCUUUUAACCAGUGCCUUGACCAUGGGUACCUGCACUCCUGGGAGAAGCAGGGAAGCUUGGUAUGCUCUUCAGGCCAGGUUUGUCCACAUCUUGAACAUUAGUCUUCAACACAGCCAUCAGAAUGUAAUAUGCAGCACACACAGGGUUAACAGCCUGGGUAAGGUACUGCAUGGCUUGCUCUUAGGGUGGGAUAUAAUUAAAAGUGAUGAUUGGAAUACAUGGUUAUUCAUAAUAGAUGUCACACAAUUACCAUAAGUAAUGCAAUACAUGCAAAAUCUCCAUUUAUAAUGAAAAU
rnacentral:lncRNA from 1 species